rnacentral:tRNA from 1 species
GGAGAUGUAGCUCAGUGGUAGAGCGCUUGAAUAGCAUGUGUGAGGCCCUGGCCAGGAAGCUGCACAUUCAAUUUCAUUUCCA